AGCACUGUGACAACAACGAGGUCUUAAAGGCACUCUGUAAUGAAGCUGGUUGGGUGGUUGAGGAAGAUGGCACCACCUAUCGCAAGGGAUGCAAGCCACCUCCGAUUGAUAUUGGCACUUCUGCAAAUAUGAGUGCCUGUUCUUCUCUUCAACCAAGCCCACAAUCUUCAUGCUUCCCCAGUCCUGUACCAUCCUACCAUGCCAG
rnacentral:misc_RNA from 1 species